AUGAAAGGUUCUCAAAAUAAUCAAAAUGCAAACAAACAGAGAGACACAUAGAGAUUCCUGCCUUUAUUAGAGAUAAUAAUAUAGAUUGCUGCCUUU